CCUACGGGAGGCAGCAGUAGGGAAUAUUGCUCAAUGGGGGAAACCCUGAAGCAGCAACGCCGCGUGGAGGAUGAAGGUUUUCGGAUUGUAAACCACUGUCCCCAGGGACGAAAAUGACGGUACCUGGGGAGGAAGCUCCGGCUAACUACGUGCCAGCAGCCGCGGUAAUACGUAGGGAGAAAGCGUUGUCCGGAAUUACUGGGUGUAAAGGGAGCGGAGGCGGGGAUGCAAGUUGGGUGUCAAAACUACCGGCUCAACCGAUAGUCGCACUCAAAACUGCAGCUCUUGAGUGAAGUAGAGGCAGGCAGAAUUCCUAGUGUAGCGGUGAAAUGCGUAGAUAUUAGGAGGAACACCAGUGGCGAAGGCGGCCUGCUGGGCUUUUACUGACGCUGAGGCUCGAAAGUGUGGGGAGCAAACAGGAUUAGAUACCCCAGUAGUC
rnacentral:rRNA from 1 species